GAACGCUGGCGGCGUGCCUAAUACAUGCAAGUAGAACGCUGAAGCUUGGUGCUUGCACCGAGCGGAUGAGUUGCGAACGGGUGAGUAACGCGUAGGUAACCUGCCUGGUAGCGGGGGAUAACUAUUGGAAACGAUAGCUAAUACCGCAUAAGAGUAGAUGUUGCAUGACAUUUGCUUAAAAGGUGCAAUUGCAUCACUACCAGAUGGACCUGCGUUGUAUUAGCUAGUUGGUGAGGUAACGGCUCACCAAGGCGACGAUACAUAGCCGACCUGAGAGGGUGAUCGGCCACACUGGGACUGAGACACGGCCCAGACUCCUACGGGAGGCAGCAGUAGGGAAUCUUCGGCAAUGGGGGCAACCCUGACCGAGCAACGCCGCGUGAGUGAAGAAGGUUUUCGGAUCGUAAAGCUCUGUUGUAAGAGAAGAACGAGUGUGAGAGUGGAAAGUUCACACUGUGACGGUAUCUUACCAGAAAGGGACGGCUAACUACGUGCCAGCAGCCGCGGUAAUACGUAGGUCCCGAGCGUUGUCCGGAUUUAUUGGGCGUAAAGCGAGCGCAGGCGGUUAGAUAAGUCUGAAGUUAAAGGCUGUGGCUUAACCAUAGUACGCUUUGGAAACUGUUUAACUUGAGUGCAAGAGGGGAGAGUGGAAUUCCAUGUGUAGCGGUGAAAUGCGUAGAUAUAUGGAGGAACACCAGUGGCGAAGGCGACUCUCUGGUCUGUAACUGACGCUGAGGCUCGAAAGCGUGGGUAGCAAACAGGAUUAGAUACCCUGGUAGUCCACGCCGUAAACGAUGA
rnacentral:rRNA from 1 species